rnacentral:lncRNA from 1 species
AAAAACGGAAAAAGAAAAUAAAUAAAUAAAUAACUAAAUAAAAUAAAAAAUAUUGGACUUGGACCUCUCUCAUUUGAGCCCACAGGUCCACAAAAAUCAGGUUAUAAAUUCAUAGUUUCAGUGAAACAAAUUUAAUUCUAUUCCUAUUACCCUGGCUGGAAAAAGAUAGUGAGAGAAGAGCUAACAGAGUUCAGAGCAGCCUCCAAACCCUGAAGGAAAGUCAAAUGCACAGAAUCAC